ACCCGCUGAACUUAAGCAUAUCAAUAAGCGGAGGAAAAGAAACCAACAGGGAUUGCCUUAGUAACGGCGAGUGAAGCGGCAACAGCUCAGAUUUGAAAUCUGGCCCUUUCAGGGUCCGAGUUGUAAUCUGUAGAGGAUGCCUCGGCGUCGGCCCCGGUCUAAGUUCCUUGGAACAGGACGUCACAGAGGGUGAGAAUCCCGUACGUGACCGGUGGCUCAGCCAUGUGAGGCUCCUUCGACGAGUCGAGUUGUUUGGGAAUGCAGCUCUAAAUGGGAGGUAAAUUUCUUCUAAAGCUAAAUAUUGGCCAGAGACCGAUAGCGCACAAGUAGAGUGAUCGAAAGAUGAAAAGCACUUUGGAAAGAGAGUUAAAAAGCACGUGAAAUUGUUGAAAGGGAAGCGCUUGCAACCAGACUUGCCCGCAGUUGCUCAACCGGUCUCUCGGCCGGUGUACUCUUCUGCGGUCAGGCCAGCAUCAGUUCGGGCGGUCGGAUAAAGGCCCCGGGAAUGUGGCCUCCUUCGGGGGGUGUUAUAGCCCGGGGCGGAAUGCGGCCUGCCUGGACUGAGGUCCGCGCUUCGGCUAGGAUGCUGGCGUAAUGGUUGUAAGCGGCCCGUCUUGAAACACGG
rnacentral:rRNA from 1 species